GAUGAACGCUGGCGGCGUGCCUAAUACAUGCAAGUCGAGCGAACAGACGAGGAGCUUGCUCCUCUGACGUUAGCGGCGGACGGGUGAGUAACACGUGGAUAACCUACCUAUCAGACUGGGAUAACUUCGGGAAACCGGAGCUAAUACCGGAUAAUAUAUUGAACCGCAUGGUUCAAUAGUGAAAGACGGUUUUGCUGUCACUUAUAGAUUGAUCCGCGCCGCAUUAGCUAGUUGGUAAGGUAACGGCUUACCAAGGCAACGAUGCGUAGCCGACCUGAGAGGGUGAUAGGACACACUGGAACUGAGACACGGUCCAGACUCCUACGGGAGGCAGCAGUAGGGAAUCUUCCGCAAUGGGCGAAAGCCUGACGGAGCAACGCCGCGUGAGUGAUGAAGGUCUUCGGAUCGUAAAACUCUGUUAUUAGGGAAGAACAAAUGUGUAAGUAACUAUGCACGUCUUGACGGUACCUAAUCAGAAAGCCACGGCUAACUACGUG
rnacentral:rRNA from 1 species